rnacentral:rRNA from 1 species
UACGAAGGGUGCAAACGUUGCUCGGAAUUACUGGGCGUAAAGCGUGCGCAGGCGGUUAUGCAAGACAGAUGUGAAAUCCCCGGGCUCAACCUGGGAACUGCAUUUGUGACUGCAUAGCUGGAGUGCGGCAGAGGGAGAUGGAAUUCCGCGUGUAGCAGUGAAAUGCGUAGAUAUGCGGAGGAACACCGAUGGCGAAGGCAAUCCCCUGGGCCUGCACUGACGCUCAUGCACGAAAGCGUGGGGAGCAAACAGG